UACGGGGGGAGCUAGCGUUGUUCGGAUAUACUGGGCGUAAAGCGCACGUAGGCGGCGCCGUAAGUCAGGGGUGAAAUCCCGGAGCUCAACUCCGGAACUGCCCUUGAAACUGCAGUGCUAGAAUUCUGGAGAGGCGAGUGGAAUUCCGAGUGUAGAGGUGAAAUUCGUAGAUAUUCGGAAGAACACCAGUGGCGAAGGCGACUCGCUGGACAGACAUUGACGCUGAGGUGCGAAAGCGUGGGGAGCAAACAGG
rnacentral:rRNA from 1 species